GACGAAGGGGGCUAGCGUUGUUCGGAAUUACUGGGCGUAAAGCGCGUGUAGGCGGUUAUCCAAGUCGGGUCGUGAAAGCCUUGAGCUCAACUCAAGAAAUGCACUCGGUACUGGGUGACUAGAGGACCGGAGAGGAUAGUGGAAUUCCCAGUGUAGUGGUGAAAUACGUAGAGAUUGGGAAGAACACCAGUGGCGAAGGCGGCUAUCUGGACGGUUUCUGACGCUAAGACGCGAAAGCGUGGGGAGCAAACAGG
rnacentral:rRNA from 1 species